rnacentral:rRNA from 1 species
UGGGGAAUCUUGCGCAAUGGGCGAAAGCCUGACGCAGCAACGCCGCGUGGGGGAAGAAGGCUUUCGGGUUGUAAACCUCUUUCAGGGGGGACGAAGCCACCGGGGUUAAUAGCCCACGGGGUGACGGUACCCCCAGAAGAAGCCCCGGCUAACUACGUGCCAGCAGCCGCGGUAAUACGUAGGGGGCAAGCGUUGUCCGGAAUCAUUGGGCGUAAAGCGCGUGUAGGUGGCUUGGUAAGUCCGGUGUGAAACCUUGGGGCUCAACCCCAAGCCUGCAUCGGAUACUGCCUCGCUCGAGUUCGGGAGGGGAGAGCGGAAUUCCUAGUGUAGCGGUGAAAUGCGCAGAUAUUAGGAGGAACACCGGUGGCGAAGGCGCCGCUCUGGGCCGAUACUGACACUGAGGAGCGAAAGCGUGGGUAGCAAACAGGAUUAGAUACCCCCGUAGUCCCUGAGCGGGCUGGCAAGGCGCAU